AUGUACCAGCCGCGUGAAACAAGUCCUGUCCCCCAUCAGUUGGGCCAUGGGUACAUUCACCAGAUCCGCGCCACCGCCUCUUCUCCCGCCCCCAUCACCUCCUCGGCCUCCCCGCCGCCCCCUCCGCACGACGCCACUGCCACCACCUUCGCGGUGGCUCCCCAGACGCCGCCGCAGCCGUGGAUCCCAGGGGCGUCGCCACCGCCACCGCAGAUCCCCACACGCCAUCGCCGCCACGUAUCCCCAUGGACGACGCAGAUGCUGCCGCUGCCACAAAUCCCCAUGGACAACGUUGACGCCGCCGCCGCCGAUCCUCACGUACGCCCCAGACGCCGCCGACCAGUGCAAAGCGUGGUCGCGUUCUCUGCACGGCCAUACGGACCAUCGCUUUGCCUGAGGUCGCCUGUCAUGGCUGCCACCUGCGUCGGCGGGAACGACUCUCUGAUGGCACCUGAGGACUCCAUAGGUGAUUUGCUAUACUGCUUCGAGACGGCACUGCCCACCGCCUGGUACGAGGUGCCGUCGGUGCUGCACAUGAUGGCAAUGCUCCGUUUAUCACGAGCAAAUUACCUUCUCCUGCCAAAGAUGUCUCUUGAAGGAUACCAUGCCAAAGUAUCUGAAGAGAACAAACGCGCUUCUGUCGAGAUAUUCCUUAAGGAGGCUGGGCACCUGGAGAAAGGUUUUCCUGUGGACCUGUCUGAAGGGGUCCUGAAAGCUACCUGCAUGCAAGCACUUGGUCAGUAUUUUGCUUUUGAUGCCCUGAGGUGA
rnacentral:rRNA from 1 species